GUCUUUUUGUUAAAAAUUUAAAGUCGGGCCUGCCCACUGAAGUUUUAAAUGGCCGUGGUAUUUUGACCGUGCUAAGGUAGCAUAAUCAUUAGUUUUUUAAUUGAAAGUUGGAAUGAAGGGUUUGAUAAAAAAAUGACUGUCUUUAUUUAAUUUUAGUAGAAUUUUAUCUUCAAGUUCAAAAGCUUAAUUUAUGUUAAAAGACGAGAAGACCCUAUAGAGUUUAAUAAUAUAAUAUAAUUUUUAUUUUAGAAUUAAUUUAUUUAUUAUUUUAUAUUAUUUGAUUGGGGUGAUUGGAAAAUUUAAUUAACUUUUUUUAUAUUAAACCAUUAAUUUAUGAUUAUUUGAUCCAAUUAUUUUGAUUAUAAGAUUAAAUUACCUUAGGGAUAACAGCGUAAUUUUUUUAGAAAGUUCAUAUUAAAAGAAAAGAUUGCGACCUCGAUGUUGGAUUAAAAUUUAAUUUUGGUGUAGAAGCUAAAAAGUUUAAGUCUGUUUGAGUUUUGAAAUUUUACA
rnacentral:rRNA from 1 species